UACGUAGGGGGCUAGCGUUGUCCGGAAUCAUUGGGCGUAAAGCGCGUGUAGGCGGCCCGAUAAGUCCGCUGUGAAAGUCCAGGGCUCAACCCUGGGAUGCCGGUGGAUACUGUCGGGCUCGAGUCCGGAAGAGGCGAGUGGAAUUCCUGGUGUAGCGGUGAAAUGCGUAGAUAUCAGGAGGAACACCGGUGGUGUAGACGGCUUUCUGGACCGUAACUGACGCUGAAACACGAAAGCGUGGGUAGCAAACAGG
rnacentral:rRNA from 1 species